UACGGGGGGAGCAAGCGUUGUUCGGAUUUACUGGGCGUAAAGGGCGCGUAGGCGGCCAGCACAAGUCAGUUGUGAAAUCUCCGAGCUUAACUCGGAAAGGUCAACUGAUACUGUGCGGCUAGAGUGCGGAAGGGGCAACUGGAAUUCUUGGUGUAGCGGUGAAAUGCGUAGAGAUCCGGAGGAACCCCAGAGGCGAAGGCGGCCCCCUGGCUCGUACCUGACGCUCAGCCACGAAAGCAUGGGGAGCGAACGGG
rnacentral:rRNA from 1 species